ACGCUCGACACCUACGUGAGGCAGCAGUGGGGAAUAUUGCACAAUGGGGGAAACCCUGAUGCAGCGACGCCGCGUGGAGGAAGAAGGUCUUCGGAUUGUAAACUCCUGUUGUUGGGGAAAAAGAGGAUGGUACCCAACAAGGAAGUGACGGCUAACUACGUGCCAACAGCCGCGGUAAUCUGAGCGGGCUGGCAAGGC
rnacentral:rRNA from 1 species